CAGAGCGAUAAUAUUUGGUGGCAACAGUUUGAAAAGUGGUUCGAACUUUUAAAGUUUUCCACGCAAAAUGUCAAAACGAAAUUAAUAGCUCUUCUGGGCUAACUCCUUUUGAGUUAAUGAAAAAAGUGUCUGAUAGCCACUAAUUCUAUUAAAUCUUGAUGUGCAAUACUCCAUGGAUACCGGAAGGCAAGAAGGUCAUGGAGGAAAUAGAUUGCUUAUAUCCGCAACUUUAAUUACACGUGCAUAAGAAAUUAAUCGCGUUGAUGUUACCCAAAUAUAAAGAAGCAUACAGAAUCUUUUCUGACUAUUUUAUUCACUCAUGGAGUCUUGGAUGAAAAUGUGGCUUCCUAUCGUAACCGCUCUAGUUGUCACUUCUGCAGGAGCUCUAUAACAGUAUAGUUAUUGUCAGAAGAGUGCUUCUAGCACAUGUGAAGCUUAUAAACUUUCUGAGCUUCCAGAAAACGAGAAGGAGUUCGAUGAGAGCUGUCCUAUUGUCCUGGAACAGUUUAACUGCAUGCAGGAACACACAAUAGAAUGUAAAUCCUUCUCGCUUGGAGAUAUUACAACAUAUCUUGAGGUUCUGGAAGAUAUCUGCCGCAAAGGUUCCAGCCUUCAUGAAGGAUUUUCCUGAUCAAUAGCUCUUGCAAGGAAUAUUGGAUGCAUCAAGGAACGUGUAAGGGAGGGAUGCUUAAAAGGAAAAAUAAGAAGAGUGGCUCGUUCAUACAGAAAUUCCCAUUAUACUCCAGGUAACGAGCAUUUUACCGAAGAGCAGUGGUCAAAACUCAACUGCAUGCUCUACGCUUAUGAAGUUACUUGUGCCGCUGACGCUGCUUCACCAUGUGGCAAUACAGUCAAGAAUGCCAUUAUAGAAGUGGCUCGUCGUGUUGAUUAUCUGCGCCAGAUGGGAGGAUGCACCAGAAGUGUGACAGCAGAGAUCAUAAAAGAUAUCCCAAAUAUGCAUAUCAGCCCUAAGCAAGAACUGCUACUCGAAGAAUUACUAUUGGAAAUCUGAAACAGCAAAUGGAUGAGGCCCAUACUGGAGCAAACUCAUUUUUAAUCCAUUAAUUAAUAUUAGAGUACAUAUGAGAAUAGAAUUAAGUCAAAGAGGUUACAUUUUGUAACCACAUUUUGGUUGAUGUAUAUUAAAUAUUUCUUCCUAUUUCAUUAAAGCAAGAAUGUCUGUUAAAUUAAAUAAUCCCUCAAAAGCGAAUCUUACAUCAAAAGAUAGUCACCAUUUAUUGGUGGCUACUACCUAAUCCAUAUGUGAGAACUCUACAUUUCCCGAAAAUUCCGUCUCUUGUUAAGGGUGAAAGGAACAAUGCUAAAACAGUUAAGCUUCACAACACAUUGGCACAUUGGAAGCAAAGUGUUGCUCCUCCAAAAUCAGGAAUUGCAUCGUUUCUUCGAUGCUUAAGAUUUAGUGAAAUACUUUAUAUAUAUAUACAUAUAUCAAUCGCAUAUAUAUAUGAAUAUUUUUAUUUUGCAUAUAUAUGUAUAUGAAUAUUUUUAUUUUGUAUAUAUAUAUAUAUA